CCUACGGGACGCAGCAGUGGGGAAUAUUGCACAAUGGGGGAAACCCUGAUGCAGCGACGCCGCGUGGGUGACGAAGUAUUUCGGUAUGUAAAGCCCUAUCAGCAGGGAAGAAGAUGACAGUACCUGACUAAGAAGCCCCGGCUAACUACGUGCCAGCAGCCGCGGUAAUACGUAGGGGGCAAGCGCUAUCCGGAUUCACUGGGUGUAAAGGGAGCGUAGACGGCCAAGCAAGCCAGGGGUGAAAGCCCGGGGCCCAACCCCGGGACUGCCCUUGGAACUGCAUGGCUGGAGUGCGGGAGGGGCAG
rnacentral:rRNA from 1 species